UUUUUUUUUUCAUUAAUUUUAAUUUCCAUCCAAAAUUAUAACUUAUUUUACUGCGAAAUAUUUAUGAACUAUCAAAAUAAUUAAUGAAGUCGAUUUAUUUUCAGAUAAGCUUAAUAAAACAAUCCUAAAUAUUUUUACAGAAAACAAAUAAUAAAACAAUCCUAAUUCAUCUUCCGCGAAAAAAGAAAAAAGAGGGAAAAAACCCAAAAUCUGUAAGGGUGAAAGUACAUCCUUAGCCCUGUGGCACCCUAUGUAAUGGUUCCUUCAUCAAUCGUCACUCAUAAAUCAAUUCAGAAAAUAGUGCUAGGGUUUGUUUUCUUUUCGCAGCCGACCGUCGCGCUUCUUUCUGCAAUACAGCUACUUCGUCGUCGUCGACGAUUCUUUUCGUAUUGUAGGCUGUCAGUGGUCCUUAUAAGUUAUUCCUGCUUCUUCUAUUUGGUAUUUUACUGUUCAUCUGCCUUCAAUCUCAUUUUUCUGCCCGCAUCGGUGAUGAAACAAUAUUAUUGUUAUCCUUGCACUUUGAUUUACCAUGAAGAAACCCAUGGGGAAUAUUGUUCCUGAGAUGCUUUUGUUCUUUAGAAGGUCGUUAGUUUACGAUUUUGUAGGUCAUUCUGCAUAUCUAGAUCGAUGAUGCGAUUACAAAUCUGCGUUAUCUAUCUGCAAUUUCCUGCUAGGAAUUGAAGAUAAACGGAUAAUCUCUGAGAUCUGUUUUCUUACUCUAUUGUUUCCCCCCGAGUCAUAUUUUAUUUCUUAGAGAUAUAGGUAUUUGUUUGAAUUGUUAAUUGAUUAUAUGCGUUUACCAAUACAGCCCUUGGAUCCAUGAUGUUAAUGAAAAACUGCGUUAUCUAUCUGUAAGUUCCUAUAUGGAGUUGAUGAUAUUGUUGAUUUCUGAGAUCCAACAGCGUUGUUUUCAUUGUAUGGUUGUUGGUGGAUAGGUUUCGUUCCAGAACCUUUUCUUUUUGCCGGUUGGUGGUUGAUGAGUUUUGUUGUCAUUUGUCCCCAGAACCUUUUCUUUUUCUCCUCCUCCUGUUUUCAACACCUACUACUUCAUAUCCACCAUUCUCAAUUGGUAGUAACUUGAAGCUGCUUUGCCUUUUUAUGGCUGUUCGCUGUUCGUUUUGAUUUUUUUUUUUUUUUUAAUGACUGAUUAGUAUUGCAUGCCAUUUUGUAAAUUAAUGAAUUAAACAAUUACCUUUUGUUUCUGCUUGAUUCAUUCUCGUCAUCGGGUUUCUUUUUUCAUUUCCUUUUUCUGCCAUUUUGUUCUUGUUUUCGUAAUGAUCUAUGUUGUUGAAAAUUCAAAUUCUAAAAACAAGUCAAUUUUUUUUUUUUUUGGUUUUGUUUUCUAAACGUAGUUUGAAUUUUGUACACACCUACAUAUAGUCUUAAAACUAUUUUGGACUUGAUAUACCUCAAAUGUUUGCAUCUCGCGGAAUAAUUGGGAUGUAAUUUCAAAUGCUUACAACACCUUCUGUACUGGGAGAAGAGAAUGUUAUGUUCUUCUGGGUACGUAGAGGAGAAAUCAAUCUUUUGG